CUGUAGGAGCGAUGCCUGCCAUCUUACUGUCUGUGCCAUUUACUCGCUGGCACUCAAGCAACAAAUCAGCUUCACUUUCUCUGGAGUCAUCAGCAGAAAUGUUGGGGGGUCAGGAGUUCAGGUGAAGGCAGAGAGUUGGGCAUUCCUAUCCUUUGAUGAAGCCCGCUACACCCAGUAUCCUGGAAAUGGAGUCCUGUCCCGCUCUAUUGUCUCAGAAUUGGAUGUUCCCUCCCAGGGCCCUGCCGCUGUGAUUGCUACUGUCAGCGUACUCUGCACUCUGAUAAUACUGUUGAUCGUCUUUGGGAUUCUUUACAAGUUUGGGUUUUUCAAGUCCAAAUCACAAACAGAGACAGGAAACGAUGACAGAUCACAAACACUGACAGGAAACAAUGACUGUACCCCACUUGAAGAGAUAGCUGACAAUUAAAUGCCCAGUGGCCACUACUCCGAUGGUUGAGGGCAGUACGCCCUCUGGUGGUCAGCCAAUGAAAUGCCCAGAGGCCAUCGCUCAGUUGGGUGAGAGCAGUAUUGCCCUCUGGUGGUCAGCUGCUGACACUGCAAAAGCGAUGGUACAUCCUAACUUUUAAAAACGUUUUUUCACCAUUUUUUAAAAUUCUUUUUUAUAUUGUUUAAUGUUAUUUCUCUUGUAAUUUAUUUGAAAUUGGUCUCUUACUGUAUUUGUAUUUGCAAGUUUUCUGAACUCAAGAGAUUUUCAUCAACCUAGAAUUUCGUGUUUUCUUAAUUUAUGAUUUACUACUUGCGUGUGGUUAUUUUCUCAUUAAACAGGACAUUUUCUGAUU